rnacentral:rRNA from 1 species
CGGCCAGACUYCKACGGGAGGCAGCAGUAGGGAAUCUUCCGCAAUGGACGAAAGUCUKACGGAGCAACGCCGCGUGAGUBAUGAAGGCUUUCGGGUCGUAAAACUCUGUUGUUAGGGAAGAACAAGUGCUAGUUGAAUAAGCUGGCACCUUGACGGUACCUAACCAGAAAGCCACGGCUAACUACGUGCCAGCAGCCGCGGUAAUACGKAGGUGGCAAGCGUUAUCCGGAAUUAUUGGGCGUAAAGCGCGCGCAGGUGGUUUCUUAAGUCUGAUGUGAAAGCCCACGGCUCAACCGUGGAGGGUCAUUGGRAACUGGGAGACUUKAGUKCAGAAGAGGAAAGUGGGAAUUCCAUGUGUAGCGGUGAAAUGCGUAGAGAUAUGGVGGGACACCAGUGGCGAAGGCGACUUUCUGGUCUGUAACUGACACUKAGGCGCGAAAGCGUGGGGAGCAAACAGGGUUAGAUACCCUGGGUAGUCCACGC